UUUAAUGUAAGCGAUGGCUUUGAUAGGCUGCAGACUUAUUUUCACAAAUGAGUGUGUCAAAUAUUGAGGUUCCUUAUAAAUCACCCUCCCUCUUUUCUCUUUUCCGAACCUUUCCGAGAGGCUUGGAAGAACAGCGUGAUUGCUUACAGCUCUGGCCCUCUUUCUCAGUAACCUUGCCUAAGUCAACAGUGGCCCCGCUGCUUUACUGCAUAAGAAAUUCUGAAGAUCAUAUUUGGGCCUCGAAGACGGAAACCUGCUAUGUGCCUUGAUUGACGGCCGAGCCUCGCACGGGCUCAGACUGCGAUGCCGUAAUGCGUUUUGCUUCCACAUCAACAGACGGAACAUGGAGGCUACAAAAGAGGAAAAGAUGGCCUGCGAUGAUGAGGAACCAAAGCGGCGGGCUUUUGGCACUCUUCGAGCCGCAUUUGAGAAUUUCCUACUUACCUCAUUUCAGAGGUGUUGCUUAAUCACAUUCACUGCCUGUCUGAAGAGCCAUGAAGAAAGAAGACCCAAAUGAGUUAAACUAUGAGGAUUACGAAGUUCAACUGGUGUUUCUUUAACCCCCGGAGACCCACAGUAAGUCAGCAAUCUUUGCAGGCUUUUGUGUUUUGUCAUUUUUACAGUUUUACACAUCCAAGAACAAGCAAAACAUCAGCUAAUUGUAUAUUACUGGACUUGCAUACACUUGCAACAGGGGAUAUUAGCCAAUAAAACAAAACUGUACAUUCGCAGUCACUUUAUUAAGUACAUCUGUUCAACUGCUUGUUUAUGCAACUAUCUAAUCAGCCAAUCACAUGACAGCAACUCAGGGCAGGCAGGGAGACAUGGUCAAGAAAACCUGCUGAAGUUCAAAUUGAACAUGAGAAUGGGGAAGAAGCAUAAUUUAAGUGAACUUAAACGUAGCAUGGUUGUUACUGUAAGUAUUUCAGAAACUGCUGAUCUGCAGGGAUUUUUCCAUAUGUACAUAUUUACACAGAAUGGUCUGAAAAAGAGAAAAUAUCCAGUGCGUGGCAGUUAAAAUGCUGAUCAAAGGAGAAUGGAAAGACUAAGAAUAGGAAGGCAGCAGUAACUAAAUAACCACUCAUUGCAAUCAAGACAUGCAGAAGAGCAUCUCUGAACGCACAGCACAUUGAACCUUGAAGCAGAUGAGCUACAGCAGCAGAGGACCACACUGGGUGCGAGUCCUGUCAGCUCAGAACAGGAAACUAAGGCUACAUUUCAAACAGGAUCACCAACACUGGACAAUGGAAUAUUGGAAAAAACGUUGCCUGGUCUGAUGAGUCUCGAUUUCUGCUGCAACAUUCAGAUGGUAGAGUCAGACUUUGGGAUAAACAACAUGAAAACUUGGAUCCAUGCUGCCUUGCAUCAACAGUUCAGGCUGCUGGUAGUGCGAUGGUGUGGGGGAUAUUUUCUUGGCACACUUUAGACCUCUUAGUGCCAACUGAGCGUAUAAACAACACGGCCUCCCUGAGUAUCGCUGCUGACCAUGUUACAUUAAAUUACAGCAGUAAAGCAGCCUUUAUUACCACCAUAUUACCAUCUUCAUGAGCUUGUUUAAUGUAACAUGUGGUAUAAAAGUAAUUCACAGUAAUGUCAGAUUAUGUUUGCAAAUUCUUUGUGAGCCCUAAAUCUCAUAAGCAGUUAAGAAAAUAAAUGGAUGGAUGGAUCACAGGUUUAUGCAGAUUCAUACUCUGGGGAGCAUUAAUGUUUACACUAAAUUGGACUCGACUAAAGUUUUGUUGGGUAAUUUUACAAAAAGUCAGAAAAAAAGAAAGAAAAAAACUUCCUCCUGGGCCUUAGGAAAUUACAUUUAUACAAAAGGAAUCACAUCCACACUGGCCUGGUAUCAAAAGAUAACAUAGGCAAUGAGACGUUUCAUAUGCUAUCACUUGUUUAGAGUCAGCUAUCCCCACAUGGUGAAACGUACCCUCGAAGCUUUGCUCCAAAAUGCUUUUUGAAGUUUUCAUUGGUAAAUUAUUGGAUAAGAGAUCAUCCCAGAUAUUGAAUUAGUGCAGUUUUGCCAUUGAAACUGUUAUUCAUCCAAUGAUACUGAUGCUCAAAGCUGGUCCAUCCAUCCAUGGAGCCAGUUUCUUCCACUUAUACAAUGGGCCGAGAAGCGGGGUACACCCUGGAGAGGUCACCAGUCUGUUGCAGGACGAACACAUAACACAUUCACACCUAUUGGCAAUUUAGAAUCACAAAUUAACCUAACCCUACUCACUGUACUGUGAGAGGAAGCUGUAGUACCCGUAGAAAACCCACACAAACACAGGGAAAAUAUGCAAACUCCACUUAGAAAUUACACGUGAAGACAGUGGAUUCAAACCCAGGACUUUCUUGCUGAUUACAGAAAAAUAAAAAAAAGUUCUGAAAAAAAAAGGAAGAUUUUUUGCUUUGGACUGUGACAGUUAAAGUGGAUGUAAAAUUGAUUUGGUUGCAGUUUGUAGCAGAGCUGAGAAACUGUGAGCUCUGAAAAUGUCAUGCCUCAACACUCAUGUACUUUACGAGGCCUCAAAAACUGCUGGAAACAAUAAGACGAAUCAAAAGCACCAGAUUUCCACCAACCCUUGUGUGCUUUUCAGGCCUGUCACUGGUACAAAGAUUAAAUUGCGCAUGGCUUCAUUAAAUAUGUUAAAGUUAAAAAUGGUGUCUUUCUAAGGAGGGGUCAGGUUGGAGGCGCACACUGUUUUUAAACAUGGCUAAAACUCGUCAUUACAUUUAAAAAAGAAGCUCAGGAUGACUGAAGUGCCGUUUAAGUUGAAAACAUGAAUUGUGCUAAUGACUACUCUGAAUAAUGUGAAAAUUACCAUGCCACAAAAUGUAACUGUUACUAAUUACUACAUGAAUGUUUGUAAUGAGUUCGACUAAUAACAGACUGCAAGUGGCAAAAACCGCAGAACAUGUUUUCACACGUGCACUGCUGGGUGGCCAAACGGCCAUGCAGUCUGUUUAUAACCAGUUCCUGUAAGAUUGCAUCAGGAAACAAGAAGCACACAUGAUGCAAAGACAAUGCAUCUUUGCAUCAUCUCUAUUUUACCAUUGGCUCUCCGUGCACAACCCCACCGUCCCCUUUUAACUAAGAACUGACACACCGCAGCAAUGAACUGCAAUGCCUUCACGACUGGGCAAAGGGGAUGCAACCUAAAACAAACCAUAAUUAUCUAUUUGUGGUUCUGCUUGGGGCAAAAAAGAACAUAAUACAAAAGCACACACACGAUGUUUGGAGUUCCAGUAAGUUCCACAACCACAGUUUAGUCUCAGGGGGAUUCUGGGUUCCUCUUAGCUGAACUUCUUCGCUUUCUUUCUUGAACGAUGCAUGCACACACAUAUACACUCCUGCAUGCAAUAAACAUAACACUAGCUCACAGGUCUUGGUGUCCACGGGACAGUUUGCUCUGCCGACCUGCUGUGAGCCGGGCCUGUGUCUUUUCUCCUAGACAUUGCUUCAGACUUACUAUCUGUUUCCACAGCCGUGCGCCUGCUGACCCGAGAAUGCGGACGGCACUCGGGUACAUUGUUUUAUGAGGCUGAGCGGCGUAUGUGAGAUGUAAAAUGUAGAUGCUGCUUAUUUUUCUGGAUAAAGCUAACUGUGGGCGUAUUUUUGCACCAGUGUGUGUUACAUUUAUUCUUAAGUGAUAAUCUGACAAGGAGAUUCUUGUCGUUUCACAUUUGGUGUCAUCUUUGGUGAAAUUUAGUAACUGCUCAAGUGAUUUGGGUGCAGUGUACCCCACCAUUACUUACAUAUGGAAAGUGACACAUUUCUGUCCUCGAGGGAUUUGGGCAAUUAAGGAAAACUUCAUGGAUUUUAAAUCUGUUUGUUUACAGGUCUUAUGGAGCCUACACUGCAUAAACGAUGGACAUAGCCCUAAAUGUGAUGUCACACUUGUUCCUGAACUAUCAUUUUGAUGCCUUGAAUUUAACGUUAUAAUUAUAACGACCUUAUUGUGGAGGAGGGGUUUGUGUGUGGAUGCGUGCCAGCGGCUAUGCUGUUGGGGAGCUUCUUGGCCUCAGGUAAUUGGUCCUGGGUGAUGGACCAGUUUGCCAUGGGAGAUAGCAGUCACGUAAGAAUUAGCAGACUGGGGUGGUGGUUCCCGUCUUCAAGAAGAGGGACCGGAGGGUGUGCUCCAACUAUAGGGAGAUCAGACUCUUAAGCCUCUCUGGGAAAGUCUAUGCCAGGGUGCUGGAAAAGAGAGUCUGUUCGUUAGUCAAACCUCAUAGACAUGAGUAUCUAAGGUUACAGAACACUGAACCAGCUCUUUACCCUCUGAAGGAUAUUUGAGGGUGCAUGGGAGUUUUCCCAACCAGUCUAUAUGUGUUUUGUAGACUUGGAGAAGGCACUGCCUUGGAGUGUUCUGUAGGAGGUGUUUCAGGAGUAUGGGGUGUCUAUGACCCAUUUGAUCCUUAUACAACUGUUUCAAGAGCUUGGUCCGCAUAGCUGGCAAUAGGUCGGACUCAUUCCCUGUGGGUGUUGGAUGAAAAGAUGGAGCACUGUGGCUAACGCUAGCUUGCUAAAACUUAGCAAACAAAGUAAUUUUUUUAUUUUUUGGACUCAAACAAAAAAUAGCUAGCGAGUCAAAACCAAUAUUUCCACCAGGCUGUAAAUACGCUUGUUUCUAAUAGAAAUUUUGGGCAUUUCACAUGGACGUCCAUAGAGAACCCUUUACUUUCAGAGGCAGCCUCAAGCCAUUAUUAUAUCUUGCCUGAAGUUCCAGUUUGGGUGUACAACUGUAUGCGUUAGUUUGUUAGCUGCUCAUUAAAUGCUUUGUGUAAUGCAGCUGCAGCUGAAGGCAUUUUUUGUAAAUUUAUCAGACCUCUGUAGCCUGCUAAUCAUCCCUGCUUGAGUUUUUGAAGCUACAUUAGCACCACCAAAAGUCACCAAAUUCUCAACACCCUGGUGAAGAUCACUCAUCUGUUUAUUCAAUAUGGCUGGUUUUUGUUUUUGUUCACAAUAAAUUGUGAAUGCAACAAAAGGAGUGCAAUGCUAACUUGGUGUGACUGUAACUGAAUGGGUCUUAAAUGAAAGAAAUAACUUGCCAUAAGUUUAGUUACUGUGUUAAUACGGAAAACAGUUGAUAUAUUCCAGCCUGAGCUGUAUAGCAGCACUUCAACUCAGAAUUUGCUCACAAUAAUUAAUAAGAACAUAGUUUGCAAAAGUUAUCAAAGGGUACUCAAAGGAAAUCCAUGGUACAGUUUCACAGAAGGUGUAACUAGGCAAAUCGGGGAGUGGACACCUUGGUACGACCAAAAUUACUGCGACCAUGUCCAAUGAACUUGAGAGUUGCCAAUGAAAUAGUUGCUUUGAAGAUGCCAACCAGGUCUGCGACCACUCGCAGUCAGCUGCCAUCUUCAAAGUGACCCGUGUCAAAAUGGUGAUACAGAUGGAGUCAGUCUGCCUUCAGUGUGAGACUGAAUCAAGUUGGCAAUUACAUGCGAUCUGUUUGUGAUAAUAAAACAAUUAACUGAGGAAAAUAGGUGAAAACCACAAAUCUGUUGUUGUCUACUUACAUUCAGAUUCCAACCAGAACCUCAUAGAACUGAAACAGUCGUUAAGCAGUUCCUCCUCAGAUAGUGAUGUUGCUCCAAACAUGCUUUCAUAUAAGAAUAUAAUCAGAAUAUAACCAGUUGCUAACUAAUCGAGUCAAGUCCCCUGUUGUAGAGAGACUUGUUGCAGACAAACUCAGGCUGAUUGCAAUGUGUUGGCAAUCUGUAUUUAUGAAUUAAAAAGCAAUUACUGGCAAACAUUUACCAGUCUGUCUGAGAGUGAUAGCAGUCAGUCCAACUUGAACUCCAACUGUUUGGAGACAGGUUGCCUCCCACCAGUUGACCUCUUCCAAAAAUGGUCAUGCAGAGGUUGAGGCUGUUGCAUGCUCAACCUUUGGGCAGUCAGUUGGGUGCUGCAGCUACUUGCAAUUUGCUGAAUCCGAACAAAUUCAAGCAAUCACUGUGCAACCAUCGAUUUUUCCUAGUUGCAAGGAGGUUUGACUGAGUUGUAAGCGUCUUUGUUCACGCGUGUAUUGCAUAAACUGAGAAACAUUUAACAGGAGUGGUCUUCCCAAAAUGUCACACUUCCUGAAAGAGAAACAAAUACCACAGUUGUGUCGUCAUAUGUGCCAUCGCAAGGCUCUGAGAGCUUUCUGAUGUUCUUGCUCCGGUUUUCCACACUCGAUAUAGUACGGGGUGUUCGCUGCUCGUAUUUUACAUACUUCUCCACCCUUUCCCGAACACUGCUGCUGCUGCUGCAACCCCUUGACCUGUCUGUCGACCCUUGUUCCCAUGACAAUUAGUUAGAAACCUUGGCCAAUUAUCGGCCGCUCUCAAACUCGGGCUUAACAAAGUGCUCAGAGCGGCCGACGGCGUGCCACCACUUUCCUAAACCCCCUCAAUAGCCGAGAGAGAUUUGUGUGAUGGGUUAAUAGCGGGAUAGUAAAAGCACUGCAGAGGCGACAUUGUUGAGUUCAUGUUGGUUUAUAGUGCGCUGUGACCCUGCUGAACGUUUUAUAUAGAAGGGUGUCUAUCAUGGGAUAAGGGCAGCAUAAAGAGGACUCCACAACAAGCAGCCAUAAAAGCCUGGUACAGACUUUGAGGGCCUCUACAGAAAAAAAGGAGACCUCAGGAGCAACUGAAAUGAAAUCUGAUUCAUGGAAAGGCAAGACUGAAAGAGCUGAGGGCCAUGCUGCACAACCUGUUACACACUGCCAGGCGAGAAACAGAGAUCGAGUGUCUUUCUAUUCUGCGUGUAGGUGACGCGUCCCCUCAAGAAUGUGGUUCUCUUCCUCUCGCCGUUUGCUUCAGUUUCCCCCUCUGCCUGCUUACUUCACUCGCACAGCCGAGGAGCUGUCGCUUGAGGAAUCUGGAAAACACCAGCGGGGAAUGAGAGGAAUUUCUGCUUUUCGUUUUUCCUUAACCACCCCCUCACUCCUUUUGCUCUCUUUACUUUGGACGCCUCUGCACAGCCGGGCUCUUGAGUUUUCUCUUGUUUCUGAAUGCAGCCCAACAAUAACAACCUCUCAUAAACAAUGGGGCUUGUUGAUUUGGGGGUUGUGAAGGAGAGUGGCCGUUGCUGGCCUGCGCUGUCAGUUUUGCUGGCAGCGGGCCUCGCGAAUGGCCCUAAAAGCUCGAAAGUACAGGCUACAUCGAGGACUGUGAAAGAUUUAAGGGCAACUUUAAAUAUGCCCCAUCUCUGAAGGACCAUAAACACAUGCUUUAGUUCUUUCUUAAUCUAUCUUUCUUCCAGAAGGACUUUGAUGGACCAAACUCUGAAAGGGGGAUGCUGGUCAAUGUCAGGAAACCACAAAAGUACAGGGGGGAAAAAAUGGUAGUUUUGGAAUUCUCUGCUUUUACAGCACCCGUGGACUCGUAAAGGGAGUCUGGAUCACAUCGAGUAGGAUUUGAACAAGACGAUCGUGGAGCCGUGCCCCGUCCUUUCAGCCUAUGGGCAAAACAUAGCCGGUCACAUGUCAUUUAAACAGCAACAGUUAAACCCUGCCUGCGUGACAGGGAAAUGAUAAUACAGAGUGAUGUGUCCUGGAAUAACUCUGUCUCUACUGUUUCCAUUUUGGAAGAUGAUACCGCACAUUGCUGGACAUUGUCCCUCAUCUGCUGAACCGAUUUAAUGACUCUCGCAUCAACUAAAUCAAAAUAAAAUGUCAAAAGGGAUUCCUGUGAAUGAGAUGGGUAAACAAACCACUGCAUUUUAUUAUAAUUUCCUACAGGCUGCAUACCAGAGCAAAGCUUUUUUGGAAAUACAAUGGUUUUUCCAAAAUAUCUCAGAUGCACAAACAAGACAUUACACAGUCCACUGCCUUUAGCGGGAACACACAGGAGUGGUGCGCCCUCAUGUGGGCAACAGGAGACCAGCAGGCUUUAGGUUGAAUUUAGGGUAAAAACAAAACAGUCAUUGUUUUGUAUCUGUGCUUCUGUGUAGCUAGCCGUCCUCCAUCCAAACACAA